rnacentral:lncRNA from 10 species
GCUCUAUUCCAGAAGCAGUCUGGAGCACAAAGAAUCCCUAAUCACUGACAUUAAGAAAGAAGAAAAAUAUUCCUAGGACGAUCCUGGAGAGCAAAGGUCAUCAGCAGUCACUUGACUUUCCUUGGAUUUCUCAACUGCAGUAGUCACAUGGUCUGCUGAAAAUGAAUUCUCUUUAUUUUCAUCUGAUUUCAAGGAAUUAUGGUUUUCAGUGAUUUCUUCAUUUGGAUCUAUUUUGAGACAGAGUAAUAGCAUUAAAACCCCCUUCUGAAUUAAUAAGGCAUUUGUUGCUGAAACGCAAAGUGUGACAAGCCAAUGGAGAAGAGACACAGACAUGCAGAGAAAACACAGGGAAGAAGGCCACAUGGGAUGAAGGCAGAGAAGGGAAUGAUGCAGCUACAAGCCAGCUACAAGCCAAGGAAUGCCAUGGACUGCUGGCAACCACUAGAAAGAAGCUGGAAGAGGCAAGGAAGGAUUCUUCCGUGAUGCCUUCAGAG